GACGAACGCUGGCGGUGUGCUUAACACAUGCAAGUCGAGCGGAAAGGCCCUGCUUUUGUGGGGUGCUCGAGUGGCGAACGGGUGAGUAACACGUGAGUAACCUGCCCUUGACUUUGGGAUAACUUCAGGAAACUGGGGCUAAUACCGGAUAGGAGCUCCUGCUGCAUGGUGGGGGUUGGAAAGUUUCGGCGGUUGGGGAUGGACUCGCGGCUUAUCAGCUUGUUGGUGGGGUAGUGGCUUACCAAGGCUUUGACGGGUAGCCGGCCUGAGAGGGUGACCGGCCACAUUGGGACUGAGAUACGGCCCAGACUCCUACGGGAGGCAGCAGUGGGGAAUAUUGCACAAUGGGCGGAAGCCUGAUGCAGCAACGCCGCGUGCGGGAUGACGGCCUUCGGGUUGUAAACCGCUUUCGCCUGUGACGAAGCGUGAGUGACGGUAAUGGGUAAAGAAGCACCGGCUAACUACGUG
rnacentral:rRNA from 1 species